AAAUAUUCAUGUUAUGACCAGGUUGAAUUAAAAAUAUAAAAAGGAACAAAAACUUUUGCAUAUCAUUUUACUCGGAGAUUGGCUGGAUUUAUUUGAGCGUGUACGUUUUGUUUAUGAUUAGUGGAAUAAAAAAUUAAACUGAUGUUGUGGUGCAGGAAGUGUCCCUUCAUUGCGGAUUCUGGGAGUGGGCAAGCGGCGGAUCAUAGGCUGCUGUAUCGUGAAGGAAGCUUAUGGUAAGACCACGUAAGACUGAAUAUCGUUCGGCAGCUAUAAUUGGCCUAUCUUACCAAUUAGAUACAAUAAUAACUGAUACAGGUUCAUACAUAACCUGAUGUGUUAGAGAAAACGACUAAAUUCGAUUCACCCACUCAAGAAAAAACAAAUCAUAUAUAAGUCCUAUAGGAGACGCUCCCUUUCCUGGUGGCUAAAAUUACAGCGUGCUCAGCGAGUAUAGCGAGGUACAUCAGCGGCGCAUUUGAUUUUAACGUCAAUGCAUCAGUGACUAAGUAACAGCAAAGC